rnacentral:rRNA from 1 species
GUCGAACGGUGAAGCAGAGCUUGCUCUGUGGAUCAGUGGCGAACGGGUGAGUAACACGUGAGCAAUCUGCCCCUGACUCUGGGAUAAGCGCUGGAAACGGCGUCUAAUACCGGAUACGAGCUGCGAUCGCAUGGUCAGUAGCUGGAAAGAAUUUCGGUCAGGGAUGAGCUCGCGGCCUAUCAGCUUGUUGGUGAGGUAAUGGCUCACCAAGGCGUCGACGGGUAGCCGGCCUGAGAGGGUGACCGGCCACACUGGGACUGAGACACGGCCCAGACUCCUACGGGAGGCAGCAGUGGGGAAUAUUGCACAAUGGGCGAAAGCCUGAUGCAGCAACGCCGCGUGAGGGACGACGGCCUUCGGGUUGUAAACCUCUUUUAGCAGGGAAGAAGCGAAAGUGACGGUACCUGCAGAAAAAGCGCCGGCUAACUACGUGCCAGCCGCC